UGGAACUUCUUGAUCCUGGGCUCAGGAGCCGGCACAGCGGCGGUCUGAGCGUAACGCACCAUCUGACUCACAGAAACCAAACAACAGUUACACUGCGCUGGAAUGGCAACUGUCCAAGGUGUACCUCGCCUCUCACCCAUUGACCGCUGGAUAUGGACACCAGCCUCCCUACGGAGUCAGAGGUGUCGAGGACUGGGGUGGCCGUUGUGGUAGAGCUUCUGCUUGAUGUGGACCAUGUUGCCGCUGGAGUCCUCCAGCUGU